CUAGCCCGUGGUUCAGGUGGCCGGUCGGGCUGGAAGGGCAGGGAUGAGGGAUGGGACUCAUCCCAGGGGAUGCUCCUCCAAAGCUUUUAUCAGGCGAGUGCAGUGGCUCGCGCCUGUAAUUCCUGCACUUUGGGAGGCUAAGAGACGGGGUUUCACCAUAUUGGCCAGGCUGGUCUUGAACUCCUGACCUUGUGAUCCACCCCACCUUGGCCUCCCAAAGUGCUGGGAUUACAGGACUAAAGGCUUCUUAGCACAAACACCACCCCUGGAGUUCCCAGUACAUCAAUACCAGCCUGGGGAUCACGUUCUCAUCAAGAGUUGGAAGAGGGAAAGCUUGAACCAGCUUAGGAGGACCUUAUCUGGUACUCUUGAUGAAUGAAACAGCAAUCUGAAUGGCUGAAAAAGGAUGGACCCAGCAUAUGCGGGGAGAAAACUUGGCAUUCUUUGGGAAUCUAACAGGAUGCAGUGAACCCAAGCCUUUUCAAGAGCUCAACAAUCAGACUGCCCUUGUCUAUCCAUGAGCAGAUGUUUGAUGGUAUUGCAGAGGACCUCUACUGGGUAUGCUGCCAAGCAACUGGAG
rnacentral:antisense_RNA from 1 species